rnacentral:rRNA from 1 species
UGGUUUGAUUAUGGCUCAGGAUGAACGCUGGCGGCAUGCCUAAUACAUGCAAGUCGAACGGAGUGAAGCCUUCGGGUUUCAUUCAGUGGCGAACGGGUGAGUAAUACGCAGGGAACCUGGCCAUGGCAGGGGGAUACACUCUGGAAACGGAGCAUAAGACCCCAUAGGCAGUAAGGCGGCAUCGCCUUACUGUUAAAGAAAGCUGAAAGGCUUUGGCGAUGGAUGGACCUGCGGUGCAUUAGCUUGUUGGUGAGGCAACGGCUUACCAAGGCGAUGAUGCAUAGCCGGCCUGAGAGGGCGGACGGCCACACUGGGACUGAGACACGGCCCAGACUCCUGCGGGAGGCAGCAGUAGGGAAUUUUCGUCAAUGGGCGCAAGCCUGAACGAGCAAUGCCGCGUGAGUGAGGAAGGUCUUCGGACUGUAAAGCUCUGUUGCCGGGGAAAAAGGGGAAAUGCAGGAAAUGGCAUUUCAUGGAUGGUACCCGGCCAGAAAGCCACGGCUAACUACGUGCCAGCAGCCGCGGUAAUACGUAGGUGGCGAGCGUUAUCCGGAAUGAUUGGGCGUAAAGGGUGCGCAGGCGGUCUGUUAAGUCUGAAGGCAAAGGGAUGAGCUCAACUCAUUUAUGAUUCAGAAACUGGCAGACUUGAGGACAGGAGAGGGCGGUGGAACUCCAUGUGUAGCGGUAAAAUGCGCAGAGAUAUGGAAGAACACCAGUGGCGAAGGCGGCCGCCUGGCCUGUGACUGACGCUGAGGCACGAAAGCGUGGGGAGCAAAUAGGAUUAGAUACCCUAGUAGUCCACGCCGUAAACGAUGAGGAGCAGGUGUUGGGAGUGAAAUCUCAGUGCCGAAGCCAACGCAGUGACUCCUCCGCCUGGGGAGUAUGCACGCAAGUGUGAAACUCAAAGGAAUUGACGGGGGCCCGCACAAGCGGUGGAGUAUGUGGUUUAAUUCGAAGCAACGCGAAGAACCUUACCAGGUUUUGACAUCGGAUGCGAAGGCGCAGAGAUGCGCUGGAGGCUAUCAUCCAGACAGGUGGUGCAUGGUUGUCGUCAGCUCGUGUCGUGAGAUGUUCAGUUAAGUCUGGCAACGAGCGCAACCCCCGUGGUAUGUUACUAACGCUUUAGGGCGAGGACUCAUAUCAGACUGCCGGUGACAAACCGGAGGAAGGCGGGGAUGACGUCAAAUCAUCAUGCCCCUUAUGACCUGGGCUACACACGUACUACAAUGGCGUCUACAGAGGGAAGCGACCCUGAGAAGGGAAGCGAAACCGGAAAAGGGCGUCCCAGUUCGGAUUGAAGUCUGCAACCCGACUUCAUGAAGAUGGAAUCGCUAGUAAUCGCGGAUCAGCAUGCCGCGGUGAAUACGUUCCCGGGCCUUGUACACACCGCCCGUCAAACCAUGGAAGCCGGCAACGCCCGAAGCCGGUGGCAUAACCUUUUAGGAGUGAGCCGUCGAAGGCGGGACCGAUGACUGGGGUUAAGUCGUAACAAGGUACCC